rnacentral:sRNA from 4 species
UGUAUCUGAAGUCUGACGAGGAUGAGAACCUCCGGGGGCAAGAGGUUCGACUCGAGCGAAGCGAGAGAACGUUGCGUCAGCAACGGCCCGCAGGGCGAG